ensembl:lncRNA
GGUAGAACAGGGGGAGGGAUGGCGGGCCAGGCCCGUGUAGGAGAACAGGGACCGGCCGUAAUGGCUCCACCGGCAGCCAAGGUGGAUCAGACAGUUCAGGGGGCCAGGGUUGACCCAAAAGUUCAGGGGACCACGAGGGACCAGACAGUUCAGGUGGCCAGGGUGGACCCGAAAGUUCAGGGGACCACGAGGGACCAGGCAGUUCAGGUGGCCACGGAGGAUCAGUCCAUCUUAGUUGUGCAGACGGCCAGGGAGGAACUCGCCACUUGAGCGACCAGAGCGGAACCUGCCCUUCCGGUGUCCCAGUGGAGACGUGAAGGUGCUCUGGACGGCCUGUGGAGACGUGAAGGUGUUCUGGACGGCCUGUGGAGACGUGAAGUACCUCGACCUCGGGAACCAUCUCGGGCACCGCAACGGACAGCGCCUCGGGCACCGCAUCGGGAAUGGCCUCGGACCCUGCCUCGGGCACCGCAUCGGGAACGGCCUCCGCAUCGGGCACCGCCUCGGCCAUUGCAUCGGGCACCGCCUCGACCUCGGGCACCGCCUCAGUCUCGGGCAUUACAUCGGGAACCGUCUCUGGCACCGUCUCUGGCACCGCAUCGGGCACCGCCUCGGCAUCGGGCACCGUCUCGGCAUCGGGCACCGUCUCUGCAUCGGGCACCGCCUCGGCAUCGGGCACCGCCUCGGGCACCGCCUCGGCAUCGGGCACUGCCUCGGCAUCGGGCACCGCCUCGGCCACCGCCUCGGGCACCGCCUCGGC